CAUGCAAGUCGAACGAGAAUCCGGGGCAACCUGGUAGUAAAGUGGCGAACGGGUGAGGAAUGCAUGGGUAACCUGCCCUUGAGAAUGGAAUAACCCGCCGAAAGGCGAGCUAAUACCGUAUACGCUUGUUGUCUCACGGGAUGGCAAGGAAAACUGUACCGAGGGUACGGCGCUCAAGGAGGGGCUCAUGUCCUAUCAGCUUGUUGGUAGGGUAACGGCCUACCAAGGCAACGACGGGUAGCUGGUCUGAGAGGAUGAUCAGCCACACUGGCACUGAGAUACGGGCCAGACUCCUACGGGAGGCAGCAGUGAGGAAUAUUGCGCAAUGGGCGAAAGCCUGACGCAGCGACGCCGCGUGGGGGAUGAAGGUUUUCGAAUUGUAAACCCCUUUCAGGAGGAAAGAUAAGGCGGGUUACCGCCUGGACGGUACCUCCAGAAGAAGCCACGGCUAACUUCGUGCCAGCAGCCGCGGUAAUACGAAGGUGGCGAGCGUUGUUCGGAUUUACUGGGCGUAAAGAGCACGUAGGCGGUUAGGUAAGCCUCUUGGGAAAGCUCCUGGCUUAACCGGGAAAGGUCGAGGGGAACUACCUAGCUAGAGGA
rnacentral:rRNA from 1 species